AACCCAUGGUGAGGGCACUUUUGUAAGGGAUCUUUAUACCCCUCCCAAGCUUCAUAGAGUGACUCUAUAUCUUGCUGGAAAAAAUUAGUGAUGUCACUUCUCAUCUU